rnacentral:rRNA from 1 species
CGCAAGUGUAUUCCUAUACUGUUGCGUUUAAAUAGCUCGUAGUUGGAUCUGCGUGUUUAGCGCGUGGUGUUAUCUUUCGGUAACUACUACGACGCGACACAGUGGCGCUAGUGGACGACGCCGCAAGGUGUGGUUGCUAGCCAGUUUACUUUGAACAAAUCAGAGUGCUCAAAACGGGCGUUUCGCUCGAAUGUUCUUGCAUGGAAUAAUAGAAUAGGACCUCGCGUUCUAUUUUGUUGGUUUUCGGGACCGAGGUAAUGAUUAAGAGGGACAGACGGGGGCAUUUGUACUGCGACGUGAGAGGUGAAAUUCUUGGAUCGUCGCAAGACAGACUACUGCGAAAGCAUUUGCCAAGAAUGUUUUCAUUAA